rnacentral:rRNA from 12 species
AAGACCCUGUUGAGCUUGACUCUAUCCUGGCGCUGAGCGGCGUCUUAGGAGGUGUAGCAUAGGUGGGAGCGUAACGCGAUACUGAAAUACCACUACUCUCAAGAUCGUCUCUCUAACCCCGCUACCGCAGGCACGAGAAGGGUGUCGCGCGUCACCCCCGUGACAACCGUAACCCGGAUCACUGCAACCAUCCCUGGCGGGUAUAGCCGGGGGUGGUAUGUCUGCACACGGGGGACACCGCUAGCUGGGGAGUUCGGCUGGGGCGGUACAUCCGUUAAAAGACAACGCGGAUGUCCUACGAUCAGCUCACCAAGGACAGAAACCUCGGGUGGGGUAUAAGGAUAGAAGCUGAUUUGAUGCGGGCCCCCAGUAAGGGUCCACACUGCGGAAGCAAGGCCUACCGAUCCUUUAGUUCUUCUGGUCGUGAAGCUAGAGGUGACAGAAAAGUUACCACAGGGAUAAC